GACGAACGCUGGCGGCGUGCCUAAUACAUGCAAGUAGAACGCUGAAGGAGGAUCUUGCUCUUCUGGAUGAGUUGCGAACGGGUGAGUAACGCGUAGGUAACCUGCCUGGUAGCGGGUGAUAACUAUUGGAAACGAUAGCUAAUACCGCAUAACAGUAGAUGUUGCAUGACAUUUGCUUAAAAUUUGCAAUUUCUCCACUACCAGAUGGACCUUCGUUGUAUUUGCUUUUUGGUGGUGUAACGGCUCACCAAGGCGACGAUACAUAGCCGAACGGUGAGGGUGAUCGGCCAAAAUGGGAAUGAGAAACGGCCCAGAAGCAUACGGGAGGCAGCAGUAGGGAAUCUUAGGAAAUGGAAGGAAGUCUGAACGAGAAAAGACGAGGGAGUGAAGAAGGGUUUCGGAUCGUAAAGAUCGGUUGUAAGAGAAGAAAGAGUGUGAGAGUGGAAAGUUCACACUGUGACGGUAGCUAACCAGAAAGGGACGGCUAACUACGUG
rnacentral:rRNA from 1 species